CUCUCUCUCUCUCUCUCUCUCUCUCGGAUUUCUUUUUCCCUCUGUUCUCUCUCUCUCUCUCGGAUUUUGGAUCAAAAUGACUUUCUCGGAUCAUCCUCCUCAAUGUAUCUUCAUCGACGACGGCUGAGAAAUGCCUUAGCGACUUACAUUCUUCUUCUUCUUCUUCGUGUACAUUGCUGGUUUUGCUUUACUUUUGAGGUAGAAAUUAUACGAGUGAUGGAUUACAACUGGCAUUGCUUAUCUCCAGGCAUUGUAAUCGUCUACAAUGUUGAGGUUCCUCUACGGUGACGGACUUUUCGGCAUUGAAAACAGUUGCUGAAUAAGGUACGAGGAUGUGAAAUGUUGUUCAAUAAAGGACGUUGCAUGAUUCCUAAACCUAGUUCGAUGAUGCUCAAGCAAAGGUGGGAUUGCCCAUCAUUCGUCAUUUAAGGUUUGUUUUUCAUAACGUAUCCAUAAUAAUAUAAGAUCAGAUUCAGAUUCAAUUUAUACACUAAUUACCAUUCUUAGCUCAAGGUUCUGUACAAAUGUCAAUAUCAUUUAUUUUAAAAUAUGUUUUACGCUCUUUACUUAUAAUUUUCAAAAGCUUUUCGUUUUAUGUUCCAAAAUUUUCUUUUAGAAAAAAAAAAAAUGUGCCAGUGAAUUUUGGAGUACUGGAUCUUAAUUGCUAAAUCUUAAAUCUUAGUACAUUUUUGUAAUGUACAAUUGCUCAUCUUUAUUGAUUCCCUAGCUUCCAUUGAUAAA